rnacentral:rRNA from 1 species
CCUACGGGAGGCAGCAGUGAGGAAUAUUGGUCAAUGGGCGCGAGCCUGAACCAGCCAAGUCGCGUGAAGGAUGACUGCCCUACGGGUUGUAAACUUCUUUUAUAAAGGAAUAAAGUGAGGCACGUGUGCCUUUUUGUAUGUACUUUAUGAAUAAGGAUCGGCUAACUCCGUGCCAGCAGCCGCGGUAAUCCGGAGGAUCCGAGCGUUAUCCGGAUUUAUUGGGUUUAAAGGGAGCGUAGAUGGUUUUUUAAGUCAGUUGUGAAAGUUUGCGGCUCAACCGUAAAAUUGCCAUUGAUACUGGCAGGCUGGAGUACAGUUGAGGUAGGCGGAAGGCGUGGUGUAGCGGUGAAAUGCUUAGAUACCACGAAGAACUCCGAUUGCGAAGGCAGCUUACUAAACUGCAACUGACACUGAUGCUCGAAAGUGUGGGUAUCAAACAGGAUUAGAUACCCGGGUAGUC